GAGCACUUGGCCUCUGACCUGCGGAAACACACGUAUGUGCUGGUGAGCCCGACCCGGGCGCGUGCCUUCACACGGCAGAGGUCACUGGUUCGAAACCAGUAGCGCCCA
rnacentral:tRNA from 1 species